UCAGGCUUCGGGCAGGCUCUGGGAGAAAUUAGACAGGGGCCCUGGCUUGCAGCUGAUUUCUGGCAGCAGGAAGGUCCCAUUUCCCAGGUGGGGAAACUGAGGCCUGGCAACAGGGCACCCGUCGUGUACAAAUAAGUUUUCUGGGGUCUCAAGGCAGAAUUUGAAUCUGGGUCAGAUGAGAUGUAUGACUCAAGUGACUCUGAUGCUUGGUUCCCAAAAGACUGUGCCUCAGUUUCUCUAUCUGUCAGACAGCCAGCUUUGUGCAGGGUCCCCCUGGCUACUCCCCAAAGACCCACGCCCCCCUGCGGCACUCGCCAGGUCCCAUGCCAGCGGCUCAGCCAUGCCAGGCCCCUCAGGCUAACCUUUCAUCCCCUCCCCCAGGGAACCCCCUCCUGCCCAUCCCAGAGGCCCUUGCGGCCAGCCUGGUGCGGUCAAGGUGGGAAUUUUACAGGCCAGCUGCGGAGGGCCGGACCAGAAACGGCUCCAUCUCUUCCAGGUGCACUAAUCCCCUGGAACCGACAUGGUCCUGCCUCUGAGCUUUGCCGCUCCCUCUGCCUAGAACACUCUCCCCAGGUCGUCACUUGGCCGAGAAUGCAGCGCUGGAAGGCGGCAGCCUUGGCCUCCGUGCUGUGCAGCUCCGUGCUCUCCGUCUGGAUCUGUCGAGAUGGCCUGCCCCUCAGCCACCGCCUCGGACCCGCCCGGGCCCCGCUGCGCCGGCCGCCCCGCACCCUGGACGCCCGGAUCGCCCGCCUGGCCCAGUGCCAAGACAGGGACUGUGCGGUCUUUGAAAGCAGAAAGGGAAACUGAGGCACGGAGCAGGACUAUCACCUGCCUGAAGUCACCCGUCACUGAGUGACAGAGCCAAGCCAGGUGCACCAGCUCAGGAUUUCCUCUCCCAGCUACCAGCGUGACUGCCACCUGCCCAGGGGCUGGGAGUGUCUGUCUGCAGUUCCACCAUCGGCGUUGCCUGCCAGUCCACUGCAUGCACGGCUUUCCUGGGGCUGGAGAGCAUUGGGGCAGAGCCAGCCACUGGGGAAAUAAAUUUAGGCUCUUGGGGCCCUGGGAAUCAGAGACCCAGGGCAUCCUGUGGGAGAAGAGGGCUGGCUCUGGGCCAAACCUGGGGCAGGAUGGAGGGGGCGGGGUGCGCUUUGGGCCCCUGUCGGCCACCUAUUAGUGGGAUGGCCCUGGGAACGACUUUGCCUUCUUGGACCCUCCAUUAUCCUUACCUGGAAAUAGCUAUGGCCAUCCCACAGGCUAAGGUCCCCCCUCCCCACAGCAGUAGGACCCAGUACCUAAAGGGGGAGGCAUGGGAAGCUGCCCCCCACCAAACACACACACACACACUCCCUGAGAGGAUGUGUCAUUGCCCGGAGGGGGGGAGGGGGGCAGCUGGGGGCCCAGAGGGAUCUGGGUCCCCACCACCACCUGCUGAGCCUUUCCCCU